UGUAUCUGCAUGCCUAUGAAAUAGGAGGCUUCGAGGGUGAUACACAGGUGCUGCAUGGCCGCCGUCAGCUCGUGUCGUGAGAUGUAGGGUUAAGUCCCGAAACGAGCGCAACCCCUAUUCUAUGUUACAAGUGUCUUAGAAAACGCCUCGGUAAACGAGGAGGAAGGUGGGGAUGACGUCUGGUCCGCAUAACCCUUAUGUCCUGGGCUACACACGCGCUACAAUGGCCGAUACAGUAGGAAGCCAAAUCGUAAGAUGGAGCUAAUCCUUAAAGUCGGUCUCAGUUCGGAUUGAGGUCUGAAAUUCGACCUCAUGAAGUUGGAUUUGCUAGUAAUCGUAGAUCAGCAAUGCUACGGUGAAUACGUUCUCGGGUCUU
rnacentral:rRNA from 1 species